rnacentral:misc_RNA from 1 species
AUACACACAAGCGUUCUUGAAAGAUAGGAACAACUACUUUUUAUAAUGAAAAAUCACAAACAUAACCUAAAUUCUUAAAUGCACACCCAGUCAAAACUCGCGGACAAUCUAAUUUAUUCUUUAACUCUUAAUCCAAAGAUAAGAACCAAGACCCACAAUUCUUUAUUAAUUCGCCCUCCUACAGUUCUUUCUGAUCUCUCCUUGUGAUCCAGUAAGUGGGCUGAUAUCUCCCAUCUUGAUCAUGCCAGUAACAAAAUCAGAGAAGAAGGUGCUUUGGCCAUUGCUGUAGGUGCGAACUAUUGAAUCAGUGGAUCCACCAUUGAACAAUUGCUGAUCAGAAUGGAGGAGGCCCCUCUGGUUAAGUAAGUUCUUGAAGUAGUUGUUGUCAAAAGAUGUAGGAGUCUGCAAAUCAAGUGGUGCCAAGUUGUUGUCCCCUGUCCCACUUGUGCUUGGGCAGUUUGACCUCCUUGUCCGAGCAAAGGAACUAUCUAUGUUGGUCUCAUUGUAUAUUCGUGCCCUAAAUGAUGUGCACCUUGCUUGUCCAAUUGUGUGGGAUCCAGUUAAAGCAACCAGGUCUCUGGUUGAAAGGCCAAGAGCACUGAAUCUUGAGAUGAGUUGGUUGAGGUUUGAAGUUGGAGGAGGAAUGCCAUUAUUGGCAGCAGAAAGGCUUGUAGUUCUAGCAUCUCUUCUUCCAAGUUUAACAUCCCAACUUGGACCUCCAAGAAUAACAGCAGAGUCUCUAGCAGCAAUGGCUACAAUAUCAGCACAUGAGACCACUCCAGGACAAGCUUUCUCAACUGCAGAUUUUACGUUGUCUAUCACAUCAAAUCCUCUAGCUGAAUUCCUGUUUGGAUUUGCAGUUUUCUCUCCGGUGAAAGAAGAUGUGUCGUCAAGUAGAACUGAACCAUCACAUCCAUUAACAAAGCAAUCAUGGAAGAACAAGCGAACGAGGGAUGCACCCAUUCGUUUUUCGUUAUUAAUGGCGGAUUGAACAACAGGUUUCACAGCAGAAAAGAGGUUAGGGCAAGAUUUGGAGUAGAAGUUUGUUGAAAGUUGAGCAUUGGCAGUGGUGAGUCCUAUGGCCAAAAGGAAAAUAAGGAGACAAGAAGUUACAAUAGGCUUGAAAAAUGAAGAAAAAGCCAUGGAUUAAACAGUUGCAGCACUACUAGAAACACAGUGAAAUUGGGUUUGUG